AUACAGUCCCACAUCACUUAAUGAUGGGGACACAUUCCGAGAAAUGUGUCUUCAGGUGAUCUUGUCGUGUGAACUUUCUAGAGUUACACAGACCUGCGGGGUGUAAGUCAAGCAUUUGAUGUGGCCUCUUGAUACCAUCGAGGGGUACAGUAAACAGACUGAGAGGCUGCGUGGGGGUCACACUGUUGCUCUGCAGUAGGUUCUGUUUAACAAGCAGGAGUACACUCUACAAUAACUAGAAAAAUGUAUCGUUUAGUAAAUACGUAGACCAGAGACACAGUUGUUUGUUUGCUUAUUUAUUUAUUUAUGUUUUGUGAUACUGGAGAUUAAGCCCAGGGUUUUUUUAGAUGUUGAUGGACCUUGAUUUUAUUCAUUUAUUUAUAUGCAGUGCUGAGGAUCGAACCCAGUGUCUCACACAUGCUAGGCAAGCGCAUGACCACUGAGCCACAACCCCAGCCCCCCAGGGGUGUUUUACUCUUGAGUUACAUUCUCAGCCCCUAGUUUUGUUGUUGUUGUUUGUUUGUUUUUUAAAUCAGGGUCUCACUGGGUUGCUGGCCUCCAGUGGCUAUCCACUGGCCUCCAAUUGCUAUCCUCCUGCCUCAGCCUCCUGAAGCUGGGAUUAGAGGCGGGCAUCACCACACCUAACAUUAAUUAUCAUUAUUAAGUAUCAUUUACUGUACAUAAUUGUAUGUCACACACACACACACACACACACACACACAGGCUAAACUGGCUACUUGAGGGUGAUGAAGCAGGAUGAGCCGCUGGUCCUGAGGCCCAGAGUCCAUGCUUCAUGAGCUUGAAUAUGGUGUUCAGUCACCGGGUACUGGUCAGUCAUCUCUGGCUUGAUCUCCCUCGGGCUGACUGUCUGUAAACAUGCUGCCCACCGGUUCUGGCAGGACGGUGGUGGCCGGGAGGUGCACCUUCCCCACCUGGGGCCUCUCGUGGGAGGCGGCGCGUAUGUGCACCAGCAGCGGGUGGCUCCUUGCUGACCCCUGCCUCGCCCGCCCGAGGCGCACAGGGCGCCAGCUGCCGGUGGGACGCAUCCUCCGGCCACAGGUGAAGGUGGGACAGGUUCCUUCUGUGGCCCCCUCCCGCUGCCUCGCAGCUUCCUGAACGGGCUGGACCCACCUUUACCCCCGGUGCCGGGGUGGAGGCCGGGCCUGGGGGUGCCAGGGAGGCUGCCAUCCUGAGCUCCCAGCCCCUGGGCAAGGUGGGAUAGGAUGGACCCCGUUAGGGCCUCACACCAACGUCACCCGGGCACCACCAGAAAC
rnacentral:lncRNA from 1 species